GACUAUACGAACAGCCAAUGAAAAGGGGAGUUUCUCCGGGUCUGAACCAAUCAUGUUCUGAAUUAGAACCAAGUAUCAACCAACUGCAGCGUUGUAGCAGACAGCAGCUCCACCCAACCAUAGCACUUUAACAGGUGAAGCCGACAGCACUGUUGGUGAGAAACAAAGAAAAUGAGCGCUACCCCCGACAGAAAUGACCAUGAAGGCUCAACAGAUGACCACAUCAAUGUCAACCACAACACUGGCGUUAGGAAAACGUCGGUGGUGUGGAGGUAUUUUGGUUUUUGGAGGUCGGACAUGAAGCAGAGUAAUGUGGACUGUAAAUUAUGUCGAGUACAUGUUAAAUUUUAUUUAAGAGUAACGGGGAAUAUUUAAGAUUGACAAGUGAUUUUUUCAAUAUCAUGAUAAACUUUCCG